GCCCGAUUAAUUCAGCUAGAUAGAAUGUCUGCCUACGGAGCAGAUGGUCGUAGGUUCGAAUCCUGCAUCGGGUA
rnacentral:tRNA from 1 species